CGCGCGAUACAGGGUGACAGUCCCGUACACAAAAAUGCACAUGCUGUGAGCUCGAUGAGUAGGGCGGGACACGUGGUAUCCUGUCUGAAUAUGGGGGGACCAUCCUCCAAGGCUAAAUACUCCUGACUGACCGAUAGUGAACCAGUACCGUGAGGGAAAGGCGAAAAGAACCCCGGCGAGGGGAGUGAAAAAGAACCUGAAACCGUGUACGUACAAGCAGUGGGAGCACGCUUAGGCGUGUGACUGCGUACCUUUUGUAUAAUGGGUCAGCGACUUAUAUUCUGUAGCAAGGUUAACCGAAUAGGGGAGCCGAAGGGAAACCGAGUCUUAACUGGGCGUUAAGUUGCAGGGUAUAGACCCGAAACCCGGUGAUCUAGCCAUGGGCAGGUUGAAGGUUGGGUAACACUAACUGGAGGACCGAACCGACUAAUGUUGAAAAAUUAGCGGAUGACUUGUGGCUGGGGGUGAAAGGCCAAUCAAACCGGGAGAUAGCUGGUUCUCCCCGAAAGCUAUUUAGGUAGCGCCUCGUGAAUUCAUCUCCGGGGGUAGAGCACUGUUUCGGCAAGGGGGUCAUCCCGACUUACCAACCCGAUGCAAACUGCGAAUACCGGAGAAUGUUAUCACGGGAGACACACGGCGGGUGCUAACGUCCGUCGUGAAGAGGGAAACAACCCAGACCGCCAGCUAAGGUCCCAAAGUCAUGGUUAAGUGGGAAACGAUGUGGGAAGGCCCAGACAGCCAGGAUGUUGGCUUAGAAGCAGCCAUCAUUUAAAGAAAGCGUAAUAGCUCACUGGUCGAGUCGGCCUGCGCGGAAGAUGUAACGGGGCUAAACCAUGCACCGAAGCUGCGGCAGCGACACUAUGUGUUGUUGGGUAGGGGAGCGUUCUGUAAGCCUGCGAAGGUGUGCUGUGAGGCAUGCUGGAGGUAUCAGAAGUGCGAAUGCUGACAUAAGUAACGAUAAAGCGGGUGAAAAGCCCGCUCGCCGGAAGACCAAGGGUUCCUGUCCAACGUUAAUCGGGGCAGGGUGAGUCGACCCCUAAGGCGAGGCCGAAAGGCGUAGUCGAUGGGAAACAGGUUAAUAUUCCUGUACUUGGUGUUACUGCGAAGGGGGGACGGAGAAGGCUAUGUUGGCCGGGCGACGGUUGUCCCGGUUUAAGCGUGUAGGCUGGUUUUCCAGGCAAAUCCGGAAAAUCAAGGCUGAGGCGUGAUGACGAGGCACUACGGUGCUGAAGCAACAAAUGCCCUGCUUCCAGGAAAAGCCUCUAAGCAUCAGGUAACAUCAAAUCGUACCCCAAACCGACACAGGUGGUCAGGUAGAGAAUACCAAGGCGCUUGAGAGAACUCGGGUGAAGGAACUAGGCAAAAUGGUGCCGUAACUUCGGGAGAAGGCACGCUGAUAUGUAGGUGAAGUCCCUCGCGGAUGGAGCUGAAAUCAGUCGAAGAUACCAGCUGGCUGCAACUGUUUAUUAAAAACACAGCACUGUGCAAACACGAAAGUGGACGUAUACGGUGUGACGCCUGCCCGGUGCCGGAAGGUUAAUUGAUGGGGUCAGCGCAAGCGAAGCUCUUGAUCGAAGCCCCGGUAAACGGCGGCCGUAACUAUAACGGUCCUAAGGUAGCGAAAUUCCUUGUCGGGUAAGUUCCGACCUGCACGAAUGGCGUAAUGAUGGCCAGGCUGUCUCCACCCGAGACUCAGUGAAAUUGAACUCGCUGUGAAGAUGCAGUGUACCCGCGGCAAGACGGAAAGACCCCGUGAACCUUUACUAUAGCUUGACACUGAACAUUGAGCCUUGAUGUGUAGGAUAGGUGGGAGGCUUUGAAGUGUGGACGCCAGUCUGCAUGGAGCCGACCUUGAAAUACCACCCUUUAAUGUUUGAUGUUCUAACGUGGACCCGUAAUCCGGGUUGCGGACAGUGUCUGGUGGGUAGUUUGACUGGGGCGGUCUCCUCCUAAAGAGUAACGGAGGAGCACGAAGGUUGGCUAAUCCUGGUCGGACAUCAGGAGGUUAGUGCAAUGGCAUAAGCCAGCUUGACUGCGAGCGUGACGGCGCGAGCAGGUGCGAAAGCAGGUCAUAGUGAUCCGGUGGUUCUGAAUGGAAGGGCCAUCGCUCAACGGAUAAAAGGUACUCCGGGGAUAACAGGCUGAUACCGCCCAAGAGUUCAUAUCGACGGCGGUGUUUGGCACCUCGAUGUCGGCUCAUCACAUCCUGGGGCUGAAGUAGGUCCCAAGGGUAUGGCUGUUCGCCAUUUAAAGUGGUACGCGAGCUGGGUUUAGAACGUCGUGAGACAGUUCGGUCCCUAUCUGCCGUGGGCGCUGGAGAACUGAGGGGGGCUGCUCCUAGUACGAGAGGACCGGAGUGGACGCAUCAC
rnacentral:rRNA from 1 species